rnacentral:rRNA from 1 species
UACGGGGGGGGCAAGCGUUGUUCGGAAUUACUGGGCGUAAAGGGCUCGUAGGUGGCCAACUAAGUCAGACGUGAAAUCCCUCGGCUUAACCGGGGAACUGCGUCUGAUACUGGAUGGCUUGAGUUCGGGAGAGGGAUGCGGAAUUCCAGGUGUAGCGGUGAAAUGCGUAGAUAUCUGGAGGAACACCGAUGGCGAAGGCGGCAUCCUGGACCGACACUGACGCUGAGGCACGAAAGCGUGGGGAGCAAACAGG